GACAAACGCUGGCGGCGUGCGUUAAACAUGCAAGUCGAACGAGUGGCGGACGGCUGAGUAGCACGUGGCGACCUAUCCGUUGUGGGGAAUAGCGGUGGGAAACUGCCGGUAAUACCGCAUGGGAGGGGGCCGCGGCCCAUCAGGUAGUUGGUGUGGUAAAGGCGCACCAAGCCGGUGACGGGUGGCCGGUCUGAGAGGAUGGUCGGCCAGACUGGGACUGGGAACGGCCCAGAUACCUACGGGUGGCAGCAGUUAGGGAUCUUGCGCAAUGGGCGAAAGCCUGACGCAGCGACGCCGCGUGAGGGAGGACGGCCCUCGGGUUGUAAACCUCUUUUCCAUGGGAGGACGGUACCGUGGGAAGAAGCACCGGCUAACUCCGUGCCAGCAGCCGCGGUAAUACGGGGGGUGCGAGCGUUGUCCGGAUUCACUGGGCGUAAAGGGCGCGUAGGCGGCCUAGUCAGUCGGUCGUAUAAGGGCGGGGCUUACCCUCGUUAGGCGACCGGGACGGGUGGGCUGGAGCGCGGCAGAGGGACGUGGAAUGCCGGGUGUAGUGGUGAAAUGCGUAGAGAUCCGGCGGAACACCGGUGGCGAAGGCGGCGUCCUGGGCCGUGGCUGACGCUGAGGCGCGAGAGCGUGGGGAGCGAACCGGAUUAGAUACCCGGGUAGUCCACGCCGUAAACGGUGGACACUAGGUGUGGGUGCCGGCGCGAACGCAGGAAGUG
rnacentral:rRNA from 1 species